rnacentral:rRNA from 1 species
CCGACGGUGAGGGGUGAAGCCUAGGGGCACGAACCGGAUUAGAUACCCGGGUAGUCCUAGGUGUAAACGCUGUGGACUUGAUGUUGGGGGUGCUCCGAGCACUCUCAGUGUCGAAGCGAAGGUGAUAAGUCCACUGCCUGGGAAGUACGGUCGCAAGGCUGAAACUUAAAGGAAUUGGCGGGGGAGCACCGCAACCUGAGGAUUGUGCGGUUUAAUUGGAUUCAACGCCGGAAAACUCACCAUAGCCGACGGACAAAUGAAGGUCAGUGUAAUGAACUUACCGGAUUGUUCGAGAGGUAGUGCAUGGCCGCCGUCAGUUCGUACCGCAAGGCGUUCUGUUAAGUCAGAUAACGAACGAGACCCUCAUCCCUAUUUGCUAAGGUUUCUCCCUUCGGGGCGAGAUCACAGGACUAUAGGGAGACCGCUGGCGAGAAGUCAGAGGAAGGUGAGGGCAACGGUAGGUCAGUAUGCUCCGAAUGCACUGGGCUACACGCGCAAUACAAAGGACGGGACAAUGGGUCGCUGCUCCGAGAGGAAAGAUGGCUAUCCCGAAACCCGUUCGUAGUUCGGAUUGAGGGCUGUAACUCGCCCUCAUGAAGCUGGAUUAGGUAGUAAUCGCGUCUCAAAAAGGCGCGGUGAAUAUGCCCCUGCUCCUUGCACACACCGCCCGU